UAAGAGCAAAAUGGCCAACAAUGGAGAAAAUAUUACACAUCCACAAAAUGCAGUAAACCAAAUGAAAGUAUUAAAAUGAACUGGAUUCCGUUCACAAUCAAGUAGCAGUUUCUUAAGCAUGUUGUUGGGGGUGGACGGUGAAAACAUUACACCACUCUGGUUAAACAAAGCCAACUUAUGGGUUUAGAGUUUCUGUAAAUAAGCUACUAAAUCUCCCAUCAUUAAUGUCUUCAAGGCGUCGCAGGAUGUGUGUGAACCCAUGACAACACUCACUUUCUGCUGGAACCAGCGCAUGGCCUCCUCUUUGCGGAUGCGGUGCCUGAAACCGAUGCGGCCUCUUUUCCGCUUCUUGUCGGCGAUGCUGAAGCCGGGUCUGCCCAGAACCUGAACACAAGGAGGGGGGGGAAGAGGGGAGACAGAGCUGGUCAGAAAAGCUUCAACCCUGUUUGUCCAUUAUACACAAACACUCCAAAAGCAUCAAUCAAGAUCAGCACUCAGCAUUUGUUGUCUGGCCUCUUGACUUCAGUACUGGUUAAAUGUAAUGUUGGAAAAUUCAGGGAUUUAAGAAGACUAACAAAAGUCCAGUGUUGAUUCUCUACAACCUGAAAAGUCAAACAACAUUCAAUUUACAAUAAUAUAAAAACAAAAAGGAGCAUCUGUUUACAUCUGAGAAGCUGCAACUAAGAAAUCUUUACUAGAUAAAUGAUUUGAAAGAUCAAUCACCUGCUUACACGGUCAAUUAUUUAAUCAAAUGAAAAUUAAUCAGCUUGUCGUUUCAGCACUACAUUUAAUUCUGAUGGAUGUAAGAAAUGGCUUAUUUUCCACAAGAAAACAGUUACUUUUACAGAGACUGUUUAUAUUUGGCAAAGACAGACAUUAACAAGUAAACUUCUGGUAUCUGCACCUCUGGUACUGUAUCAAGUCUCAAAGUCGGUCAUCAACAAGCUGUCAGCUGACCAUGGACAUGAUUUACUUCAGACAGACAUAACUUUCAAACAACAACUUGGACAAACAGCAUUUCAAACAAACAGCAAGUUAAACUAAAUUCCAAAUAAAUCACAAAUCCAACCAUUCUGCAGACAUUUAUUAACUCAGCUGCAACAUCUUUAUGUGUAACGUAGGGGGUGGGAGAUAUGACCUAAAAUGUAUAUCACGGUAAUUCUUUUGAUUUUUAGCGGUGACGGUAUUUUAUCACGGUAUUACAAAAUUAAAAGGGAUACUCCA